rnacentral:rRNA from 1 species
UACGGAGGGUGCAAGCGUUAUCCGGAUUCACUGGGCUUAAAGGGUGCGUAGGUGGGUUGGUAAGUCAGUGGUGAAAUCUCCGGGCUUAACCUGGAAACUGCCAUUGAUACUAUCAAUCUUGAAUACCUUGGAGGUGAGCGGAAUAUGUCAUGUAGCGGUGAAAUGCUUAGAUAUGACAUAGAACACCAAUUGCGAAGGCAGCUCACUACACGGUCAUUGACACUGAGGCACGAAAGCGUGGGGAUCAAACAGG